UACUAAGGCCAUCCACCCUGGAGGCGCCCCAAUUUUCUCUUAUCUGGGAGGCUGAGCAGGCUCGGGGCUGGUUAGUACUUGGCUGAGAGAUUUGAUGAAAGUGAGGUAUUAGAAU
rnacentral:rRNA from 1 species